CACCAAUAAGAAUCGAACACACCUGAAUGAGUUCAUGAAAAACAGCACACACCGUAUCAAAGUUCGCAUAACGUUGCGAGGUCCGUUCAAGCAACUCCAAGUUUUCUUUUAGAAGAAGAGAUGGAAAGGAGAAGCAUCGCAGCUGUCAGCUUCGCUCCCGGUGCAGCACCAUGGACAGCUCCACAGCACUUCACAGACACGAAACAGAGGCAUGACUGUUGGAUCAUCAUCACACGUGGUAUCAGUUUCUGGGCAUCAGGGGCUUCUUGAAGGAUUCCAUAGGAAACGGAGAAGACAUUUCACAUCUGUUGGUGUUGAGGCUUCGAUGAGAGACAUCCAAACAAAGACAAACCAACACACAGCUGUUCCAUGCAGAUCAGUGAUCAAG